UACAGAGGGGGCAAGCGUUGUUCGGAAUUACUGGGCGUAAAGGGCGUGUAGGCGGCCUUCUAAGUCGAACGUGAAAUCCCUGGGCUCAACCCAGGAACUGCGUCCGAUACUGAAAGGCUUGAAUCCGGGAGAGGGAUGCGGAAUUCCAGGUGUAGCGGUGAAAUGCGUAGAUAUCAGGAGGAACACCGGUGGCGAAGGCGCUCAUCUGGCCCAAUACUGACGCUGAGGCGCGAAAGCUAGGGGAGCAAACGGG
rnacentral:rRNA from 1 species